rnacentral:lncRNA from 9 species
CGCCGCCCCCAGCUUAGAGCCAGGAGCCCUUUCACACGCAGUGACUCUGCCUACUUGGCUCUUUCUGGACCUUGGACUCCUCCCUCAAGACCCCACUCAACUCACAGUCCCUGAAUUCAUCCCAGCCCCACGGUGCCCGCUCCAUCCUGUUCCCAACUCGCUGCGUAUGUGCCUGGCAGAACCGCCACCCACUACGGUGAGGCACAGUCUCCUUCGCAUCCACCUGAACGGCUCGAAGAGGAAGGACCGUGUUUUACUCCGUUUUCUCAACAACUCUGUGACCUGACGCACCUCUCAGUACAGUACAUGUCUGCUCCACGAAGUUUGGGGUUUUCCGGUUCUACCACCCAGUGGGGUUUCAAAGGUAUGAGAGACGCUUACAAAGUCCAAGCAUCUGAAUGUGAAAGGUGGUUUCUGGUUUAAAAAAAAAAAAAAAGAAAGUCGGACGUUCCUGUUGUGGCUCAGCAAUAACAAGCCUGACUAGGAUCCAUGAAGAUGUGGGUUGGAUCCCUGGCCUCGUUCAGGGGGUUAAGGAUCUGGCAUUGCCAGGAGCUGUGGUGUAGGUCACAGACACGGCUCGGAUCUGGCGUGGCUGUGACUGUGGUGUAGGCCAGUAGCUGCAGCUCCAACUGGACCCCUAGCCUGGGAACCUCCAUGUGCCACGGGUGCAGCCAUAAAAAGAAAACAAAAAAAGUCUCUUUCUCAUUUCAAAACAGUGCGAUAGGGAAGCGUCAAGUAGGGCAGGAGAGCACCGCCUGGUUGCAUCUCUUCGUCCUUCACCCUCCUCGGGAAUUAUCUUCAUCGAGGUCACGCAGGCAGCGAAUCCAAGCCAGAGCUUCCCAAGAACUCGGGGAAGGAGAGAGGGACCCACGACCCGGACGUGACUCUCAAGUGAAUCCCUGGGAGUGGCUGCUGCGGUUUCUUUGGAAGAACUGUUGGGCCAUCCGGUAUGAAGCGCUGAGGUCCUGCAGCUUGCUCACAGGGAAGGUGCCACGUCAUCUGGACAACUUCUGCUGUUUGCAGGAAACACUGCCAUGUUCACUGUCUCCAAGGAAACCAAACAGAUGUGGAUCGUUGCCCCGGAACUCAUUUCGGGUCCUGCAUCCAAGCCCAGGACCAGUCUCGGAGCGUCACACUACAGACUGUGAUAAACACUCGCUUAAUUAGCUUGAGUUAGUAAGCAGCUGACGUAUUCCCGGACAGUUUAACCCAUUAGGAUAAAGUUCUGUUACUCAUCUAAUUUCCUGGUUGCUGAUUUAGAAGUAGCCUUUGGCAGCUCGUACACUGUGAUCUGAUGUUUUACAAGUAAACGUGGCUAAAUCAAUCCAAGUCCAUCGCUGCCAUGGGCAUGAGGCAGAAAUAGUCUUCCGAUGCUGUGAGCCAGUCGGGCCAUACAACACUGAAAAAUGCACAGAGUGCAGCUACGUUCACGGCCCAGACGUCACAGAGAGGGGCUGGCAUUAGGAGAGCAGCCCUUCCCGCUGUUGUGCUGGAGCUGCAAUGUCAGCAGGACAGAAGACACGUGCUCGGUGAGCUGUGUGGCUGCUGCCUUUCACGCUGGUUCCGGGUGAGAUGCUGCCUGUGCUCCAUCAUCAAAACUGACUUGCGUCACAUGGGUUGGAUAUGGGUUGCAAUGUGCCUUUUGAGUGUGUUUUUUACCAAUAUAUUAUUUCCAACAUUUGAAAGGACUAUUUUCAAAAAUAAAAUACUACGAAAGAAAAUAUCUGCCUGUAACAAUCUCAGAUUCAUAAACCCGAUGAACUGCGUGUGGAACCACGGCCAAGAGUCUUUGUUCAUCUCGGGUUUAAGCUGCCUACUGAAACAUCAGACCGUUCCAGCAACACCCAAAAGGCGCUGUUUCUGUUUCUUGUGCAUGGACUGCUGAAUUCCUCUGACACUGAAAUCAAAGGAACCAGUCUCCUUAUCUGGGGUCAUGUGGGGCAAGAAAAUGCCAUUCUCUUGCUGAGUGAGGCCAGAUGUUGUCAGGUUAGCGUCAGGGGCCAGUUAGCAGGACUGGACAGAAAAGGCAUCCUCUGGAGUCACUUUUGUUGACAUCAUUGCUGUAUCUGAAGUGAGUUUUCUAAACAUCGGACUCGAAUGAAUCACCUGGUAUUACUGAGCAACAGCUGUACGUGUCCUUCCGCCAGUGGGCAGGGGUACUCUUCAUUCACCAAUGACCACCCCCCAACUCAGCUGCCACAACAACUGCCCUAGGUCAUUCUGGGAGCGAAAGGCCCAACACUGCAAAGCCUGGAGGAAACCAGGUGCAGGUGAGACCCAGGGUUUCACCGCUUCACCUCGCUGGCCUUUCCAUCCUCGCUGUGGUCUGUGGUCUGGAGAGAGUGGCACUGUCCAACAGGGAGCUGAUGCCAGUAUAUCUAGUGGCUGAACAGCAGCAAUGAGGAAGAGAGGAUAAAACACAGAAGAGCUCUGAGUAGUGGUGCAAUGGUAACACUUAGAUCUUCAGCCACGCGGCUCUGCAGACCGGGUUGCCAGGGGUCUUUAUCAAAGACUGCCAGUAACCUCUUCCCACCUGUAAAUCCGUGGCUAAAUGGUGGGGGGAUCCUGCAAGCAUUUCCAGUGAUACCACAUCACGCUGGUAUUUCAUGCUUAGUUAGAGACAGUUGAAACCCAGGCCUUUGUCACGUGAACUGUGAUCAGAGUAGUUUCAGCUGUGUACUCAUACCAUUUAUUUUGCUAUAUCUGAUUUUGGGGUCUGAUGUGGGAUUUGAUUCUGUUUUUCAUUAUAAGCCUCUUAGGGUAUUAAGUUUCGAAAAUGUGACAAACACACGCUUAACAACUUUAUGCUAAGAGAAAUCUUUCUAGAAAGGAGGGUGCUGAGUCUAGACUUAUUAGCCUACGUAAUUUGGAAAACAGUUCUCCCACCCAGUUUGAAUCCAGGCAAGAUGGCAGCGAAUACUGGCCGAGAGAACCCCCGCCUAGGUCUCCCUGCCAAGCGACCCUAGCUUGAGAAAAAGCAAAUGAGGUUAGGAAUGACCUGUUCUUUUGCGGAACCAGGCUGGCUUCCUGGGCGCACCUUUUUAUUUUGGAGAUAUUAAAGUACUAAAAGGUAGGUAGGAUAAGAAAUUUACCCUAUUGGAGGUGAUGCAAUCGAACAAGAGAAAAUGAUCAGAGACAUGAAAACUGGGGGAAGAAAUACAACAAUCUCUAUUUGCAGGUGAUAAAAUAUAGCUGUAGGACUCAGGGACUCAAAAGAAUCAAUGGGGAAAAAAACCCUAAUACAAACAGUAAGAAAAUUCAUAAGGGCACUAGGUUAAAAGUUACCACAUAAAAACAAUCUUCUGACAGACAAGGAGAAGCCGGUAGGAAAACACAAGGGAAGAAAAGUGCUUGCUCGCAAUAUCGACGGAAAGAUGAAAUAACCAGGAAUACAUUCAACAAGAGAGGGGCAAACCUUCCCUGAAGAAAACUUUUAAAGUACUCCUGAAAAAGAGAAAAAACCUAUUUGUGCGAACAGAAAGAUCCUGCAGGUUCUUGGCUGGGGAGAGGAUUAAGAAGUCCUUCGACCUCUCCAGGUUCUUGGGCUGGUCUAACAGUUGAAUUGGCUUUAGACGGAUUAACAGGAGAAAAACACAUUUAGAUUCCUAUGUGUGGGAGUCCCCUGAAGCUGUAAGACCCAAAGGCGAUCGGGCCAUCGAGGCUCCUGUGUCACCCUGAGCGGAG